rnacentral:rRNA from 1 species
UACGAAGGGUGCUAGCGUUGCUCGGAAUUACUGGGCGUAAAGGGCGCGUAGGCGGCCGAUCUAGUCAGAUGUGAAAGUCCUGGGCUUAACCUGGGGACUGCAUUUGAUACUGAUUGGCUUGAAUGCAGGAGAGGAUAGCGGAAUUCCCAGUGUAGAGGUGAAAUUCGUAGAUAUUGGGAAGAACACCGGUGGCGAAGGCGGCUAUCUGGACUGUGAUUGACGCUGAGGCGCGAAAGCGUGGGGAGCAAACAGG